CAGGUCAACGCAACAGACACGCAACAGACACGUAACAGGUCAACGCAACAGACACAUAACAGACACGCAACAGACACACAACAGAUCAGCGUAACAGACACAACGGACACAUAACAGGUCAACGCAACAGACACGCAACAGACACAUCAGACACGCAACAGGUCAACGCAACAGACACACAACAGGUCAACGCAACAGACACACAACAGAGACGCAACAGAUCAGCGUAACAGACUCAACAGACACAUAACAGGUCAACGCAACAGACACGCAACAGACACGUAACAGGUCAACACAACAGACACGCAACAGACACAUAACAGGUCAACGCAACAGACACAUAACAGGUCAACGCAACAGACAUAGAAACUGCUGAGCCUUAAACUGAGGAUGGAGGCAACAAGAAACAUAAAAAAUAAAAGAAGUGAAGCUGAAAGACUCUCAGACAGACAGACAGAUACAGACAGACAGACAGACAGACACAGACAGACAGGUG